CCGCCCAAGGUUUUAACCUUUUUUUUCCUUUCAUUUUUUUGGACUUGCAUACAAAUGUUAGAUUCUGAGAUGAACAAUUAUGGACGUUACAUAGCCUGUAUAAUGUAAGUCCAUAUACUGUAUACUGUGUAAAAACAAUGACGGCACUUUUUGAAUAACCUAUAAGCGCAACUUUUUUUUUAUUUAUUCUGUAGGCCUAUAUUUUAAUUUCAGGCGAACUGGCCAAGGAGUUAUAUGCUUUAUUGGCAAUAUUUGUCAGAACGCUUAUUAUUUGUUUUAAAAUGAAAAAUUGAGGAUAUAUUGUAAACACUGUUAUGUCUUUUGUGUCAGCUAUAUGUAGACCAUUACUUUCAGCAUUGUAUACAUUGCAAAGGGUCCACCAGCGAGGGUUUGUCUUUAGACUAUAUUACAACAAAGCAUUAAGAAAUAAAAUAUCUUUUCGGCUCUUUAAGCCGACAAUUCCA